CUAUGGCCAUAUCAUGUUGAAACACCGGUUCCCGUACGAUCACCUAAGUUAAGCAAAGUUGUACCUGGUCAGUACCUAGAUGGGUGA